CUUCAGGGUAUUUAAAAUUCCUAAGUAUAUUUAGUGUAGUUUAUGUGAUCUGUGCAGUGUCUUAUUGUUGUUAUAUAAGUUCAUUGAACCUGACAUUCGUUCACAUUUAUUCAUUUAUUCAAGGCUUUAGUUGUCUUAGUGUGGUAAAUCCUCAUCAUGUAGAAGAACAAUUGGAACUGGUCCCGGUGAUGAAGCUGGACCUGCAGUACAUCCACCUGAAGUUCCCGGGGAUGCUGAUCAUCUCCUCUGCCGUCCACAGGCGCCAAUGAAGGACUGUUAAAUGAAUAGAGUAAAAUUACAGGAGCAUGCUCAUUAGAAAACAGUCACAAAUACAGCAGUUUCACCUUCAGAUUUUGUGCACUGAUGCUGCGUCUGGCGCAUGGCUGUACUCCAGAUCUUAUAUUACAUCUAAGGCUUCUCUCCGUCUUUGCGAUGGAUGUAUUUUAAGACCAAUCAGAAGCGGUUGCUAGGCGGACCAGAAUCGGCCACCAAUCAGCGUUUUUCUGCCAACGUUAGCUGACGUAUGUCGUCAUUGGCCUCGACGCGUCUCCUCAUUGGUCACGAUCUUCUGGGAGGAGCGCAGAGAGGCGGAGAAACAAACAGAUUUAAACCAAGUUUGAGCGGUUGCUUCGGUUUGUCAGUACUGUGAAAAAACUGUCCUUGCUAAAGAAGCCUGGAUGAUGGAACAAACUCUGGAGCUGCGUUUCUGUCGUUAAUGAAGAGGUCUGGAUGCCAAAACAAACUCUGGAGCUGCUUUCUUGUCGUUAAUGAAGAAGUCUGGAUGCCAAAACAAACUCUGGAGCUGCUUUCUUGACAAACACGAGUGAGACUGGACGCUGAGCACACCUGUGGCGCGAAGGUUUACUCUUUGAGCUGCUGCAGCCUGGACAGAACAAAUCAAACAGGUGCCACCACUUCAUCCUCGAUCGUGGGAUCGAGUGUCUUCGUACACUUCUUCUUUGAAACCAGGACUGAGGCCUCCAGGAUUCAGACUUCAACCAUUAGAGACACAUGUGAAGACAUUUCCAGAAGGUCUUCAGCUGUGGUUGUCUUCUUCUCCUGCAGAGACAGGAGCAUGUGUUAAUCACAGAAACUGAUCAAUUAAUCUAUUUUUCUUUUCCUUAACUGUCUUCAUUUUUGAUACCUAAUUAAAAUGAUUUAAACUAAACUUUUUAUGACUCUGUCAAUAUCACACAUUUUGGUGUGUUUUUCUAGUUAUUACAGUCACAGUAAUGUAUAGUAACAUGUUAUGUCAUUUUUGAUACCUUACUACAGUGACAGUUUUUUUU